rnacentral:lncRNA from 1 species
UCAAAUAACAAUUCUAUUUUAAAAUUAGCACAAUAUUUUUAAUAAUAAUUGCAGUUUAAAUUAUAAUUAUUUUGAAAUAUAUAAUUCUCACAACUUCUAUUAAAUUAUAAAUUUUUUUUAAAAAAACAAACCGAUGUCUGCUACUCUAGCACGAUUCUGUCUGCCGUCUCUGGCACGGGUUCUUUGGUUUUAGGUUGUGUUUGUGUUUUUUUGGAUUUCUGAGGGGUUUUGAUCUCUUUUAUUUUAUCCCCUACGACGUUCACGAUUGUUUCUCUUUUCAAUUGGUUGGUAGAAGCGUUCCUUCAAUUCCUGCAACCAUGGAGACUGAAUUAGCACAGUUAUCAAUUAAUGAAGAAGAAGAAGAGAUCUUGCAGAUUCAGGAUGAUCUACAUCCAAAUACAGAUGUGGGCGAUUAUCAGCUUGUGGGAUGUUUUUUAACAGCAAGCAUCAUAAAUUUUUCGGCUAUGAAGAGUACCCUAGCAAAUUUAUGGCACCCCAUCUGUGGGGUACAGAUUCGUGAUUUGGGGGAAAAAAGGUACCUUUUUAAGUUCUUCCAUAGUAUGGAUAUGGAGAGAGUUCUAAAGGGUCUUCCUUGGACUUUUAACAAUCUACUAAUUUUGAGCAAUCUGAACAGAGGUGAAGAUCCGUUAAAAAUACCGUUAAUAUAUGUCCCGUUCUGGGUACAAAUCCAUGAUGUUCCAAUGGGUUUAUUCUCUAAAAGUUUAGCAAUGUUACUGGGGAAUUUUAUUGGAGUAUUUUUAGAGUAUGAUGCAUCAAAUCUGGGAAAGGAAAAUCGUAAUUUUAUGAGAGUUAGGGUGCAAAUUGAUGUCAGGAAGCCAUUAAGGAGAAAGAAGCAGGUUAUGUCUAAUGGUGUUUGCUCGUACGUUAAAUUCAAAUUCAAGUAUGAACGUUUAUCACUGUUUUGUUUUUUCUGUGGUCGUUUGGGUCAAAAUGAUUCUUAUUGUGAGGCAAAAAUGAUGUUUGGAUCAGAUCCCAUGGAGUUGGGUUGGGAUUUAUCUCUGCGGGCUCCAUCACGUAGAGCUUUGUCUACAGAAAGUAUUUGGCUACGUGAAGAGGAUGAGGGGGUUAGGGAAGGUUGUUGGAUGGAGAACAGGUUGGGGGAGAAGGGUUCAAGGAAUGGGAUUCCAAGAGUCAGUGAGAUGAAAACCAUGGAUCCAAUAUUGGGUUUCAGUUUAGAAGGGAAAGGAACAAUUUUGGAGAAACCAUGGUCAUAUAAGAAGCACACAUUAAUAGAUCAUGAUCUAGAGGAUGAAGUUGUAAUGGGGGAAGAGGGGAAGAAGCAGAAUAGGGGUGAAAUGGAAGGACAGAUACUUUUAUCAUUGGCAACUAACCUCCGACCGGUCGCAAUGAAAAUAUUAUGCUGGAACGUCCGAGGAUUGGGGAGUCAUUGGACAGUUCGAAGACUUCAGUAUGUACUGAAGUUAAAAAAUCCCCAAAUUGUCUUCUUCAUGGAGACAAAAUUUAACAAAAAGCAGAUGGAAGUAGUUCGCAGGAGAUGUGGGUUUCAUAAUGGCAUUGAAGUCGAUUCUGAAGGUACAAGGGGUGGGUUAUGUUUGGCAUGGAGAACAGAUAUUGAUGUUGGUUUUCGCAGUUUCUCUAAAAGACAUAUCAAUGUGUUAGUCGAUGAUAAUGAGAAAGGUGUGAAAUGGAGAUUCACAGGGUUCUAUGGUUCCCCAUAUGUUCAGGAUAGGAAUGUGCCAUGGGAUACUUUGAAAAGAUUGGCCACAGGAGUGGAAAUUCCAUGGUUGGUUUGUGGAGACUUUAAUGAAAUUAUGUAUGGUUUCGAAAAGAAAUGAGGGAUUCCCAAAUAUGAGAGAAGAAUGGAGUGUUUUCGAAAAACACUUGAUGAUUGUCAAUUGAACGAUGUGGGUUUCGAUGGUAGUUGGUUUACUUGGGAAAGAGGUAAUUUACCUGAGACAAAUAUACGAGAACGCCUUGAUAGAGGAGUUGCGAAUAUGGGUUGGAUUACAAUGUUUCCAGAUGUGAAGGUUCAACAUCUUUCCCAUUCAUUUUCAGAUCACUGUCCCCUUCUCAUUGAUACUACAGAAAAAAGGAGUAAAGGUAGAGAAUAAUGAUUUUAAAUUUGAAACCUGGUGGUUAUUGGAGGAAUCUUUUAUUGAGGUGGUUAAAGGCAUAUGGGAUAGUUCGACAGGAGACUUGCUGCAGAGAUUGGAGAUUUUGAAUACGGGAUUAAAGGGGUGGGUAGGAGAGGUGGAAAUGAGUAGAAAGAAAUCUAAACAGAAGCUUCACAAAAAACUUGAGGAACUGGCUAGAGCGGAGAGGGAUGAAAAUAGUUUAGCAGAGCUAAUUGACACUAGACUAAACUUAAAUUUUGAGAUUGAAAAAGACGAAUGCUACUGGAAACAAAGAGCUAGAAUUAAUUGGUUGACAUUUGGAGACAAAAACAUAAAAUUCUUUCAUAGUCAAGCUACACAAAGGAAGAGAAAAAAUUUUAUUAACAGAUUGAUGAAUGAAGAAGGAAGAGAGCUGAAGAUUUUACAGGAAAUUGAAGAAAAUGCGAGAUUUUAUUUCCAGAAAAUGUUCACAACUGAACGAAGAAGGAAUAACAAUCGGAUUUUGGCAGGUAUUGAGAGAUGCAUUCAUGAGGAGGACAACCAGAUCCUUACAGCUCCAUAUACUAGGGAGGAAAUCACGAAAGCGGUUUUUGAUAUGGGGCCAACGAAGGCACCAGGGGAAAAUGGUCUUCCAGCAGUUUUUUACCAAAAGUGUUGGCAGAUCGUGGGAGAAGAUGUCAUUGCUUACUGCUCUCGAAUUUUGAAUGGACAUAUGGAGGUUAGUUCAAUAAAUUCCAUAAAUAUUGUUCUUAUACCCAAAGUUAAUAAUCCCCUAAUAAUGACGCAAUUCAGGCCGAUUAGUCUCUGUAAUGUUAUUUACAAAUUUAUUGCUAAGGUGAUAGCUAGUAUGCUUAGAAAGGUGAUCAGGAAAUGUAUUGAUGAAACCCAGAGUGCUUUUGUUCCUGGUCGAUUAAUCUCUAAUAAUGUGAUACUAGCAUAUGAAGUAAUGAAUAAGUUAAAACAGAAGAGGCUGGGAAAAAAGGGUUCAUGGCCGUAAAACUUGAUAUGAGUAAGGCUUAUGACAGGGAGGAGUGAAGUUUUAUUGAAGAAAUUAUGAUAAGAAUGCGAUUUGAUUCGGAAUGGGUGAAGGCCAUUAUGAAUUGUGUUUCUACCGUUUCCUACUCGGUUGUUAUUAAUGGACAUAAAGGGGAUACAUUUUCACCUAAUAGAGGUUUGAGACAAGGCAAUCCACUUAGUCCAUUUUUAUUUCUCUUUUGUGGCGAAGGUUUAUCGAGCUUAUUGAGGCAGGCAAUAAAAAGAGGCUCGUUCAAUGGCGUAAAGGUUAGUAGAAGUGGGCUGCAAAUCUCCCAUCUUUUAUUCACAGAUGAUUGUGUUUUGUUUGGUGAAGCAACAAGCAGGGGUGCAAGUAUCUUCAAGGGCAUUUUGGAUGAAUAUAAAUCUCAAUCAGGACAGUGUGUAAAUUUUGAAAAAACAUCUGUUUUCUUUAGCAAAAAUACUUCCGAAGAGGAUAAAAGACAAGUUGUUAACUCGCUGGGGGUCCGAAGGUCGAAUGAACUAGAGAGAUAUCCGGGAUUGCCUAAUAUGGUGGGUCGAAGAAAGAGGGAAGCUUUCUAAAAUAUGAAGGAUAGGUUCAAAAAAAGCAUCGAUAAUUGAAGCACUAGAUUUCUUUCACAGGGAGGCAAAGAAGUUUUUAUUAAAGCCAUUUUACAGGCUAUACCUACCUAUUCGAUGGCAUGCUUCUUAUUUCCCAGAACACUUUGUGAUGAACUGGAACAUAUUGUUGCCAAAUUUUGGUGGCAGAAAGGGAAGGGAAAAAGAGGAAUCCAUUGGUGCACUUGGAAGAAACUUUGUUUUUUGAAAGAAAAUGGGGGAAUUGGGUUUCACAAUUUCGGUCAGUUCAAUAUUGCAUUAUUAGCAAAACAAGGUUGGCGUCUCAUUAAUUUUCCAAAUUCGCUUUUAGCUAGAACUUUAAAAGCAAAGUCUUAUCCGGAUUCUUGUUUCUUAACAGCGAAGCUUGGAAAUUUACCUUCUUUUACCUGGAAGAGUAUCUGGGCUGCUAAAGGUUUGCUCCAAAAAGGGAUGUGCUGGAGAGUGGGUAGAGGAGAUAGCAUCUCUGUUUGGGACGAUUGUUGGAUUCAGGGGGUUGACAAAAUUGACAUAAACAACAGAACAACCAGGAGGGAAAUUAAGUUAGUUGCGGAUCUUCUUGAUCAUUCAAACAGAAAAUGAAACUUGGAGUUAAUUCAGAAUACCUUUCCUGAGGACAUAGUUCGGAAAAUCCUUCAAAUUCCCUUUACAGAGACUGCGCAUGAUGAUUUUCAAGCUUGGAAAGGGGAGUUAUCUGGUAAGUUCUCUGUUCGCAGUGCCUAUAAACUAUUACAAAAUGCAAAUAUGGAUCCUAGUGACUAUUUAUUACAAACCGAAACAAAGGAUUUUUACAAAGAACUAUGGAGCCUUCAGCUACCAUCUAAAAUUGCGUUUACAGUCUGGCGGAUCUCUUGGGACUUUAUUCAAAGCUUUGUGAACCUCAAAAUAAGGAGAGGUAUCAAACGACAGAUGUCCCCGGUGUAGCUCUGAGGUAAAAAGCAGUCUCCACGUCUUUCGAGAUUACCCUACGACAGCAGAGGUAUGGCAUUUGUUAAAUUUCGCAUGGGUUAUGAACAAUAGGAGCCAUACUAUGUGGAGUAGUUAACCUGGGUCUUCAAGAGGGGAAACAAUGACCAAUGCUUUUCCUUUUUCUAUGCGCUAUGGUGGAUAUGGUUUUCUAGAAAUCAAAUUAUUCAUGAGAGAAAUAUCAUUCUAGGAAGGGCUUUAAUACUUAACAUUCAAAGAUAUGUGUCAGAACAGAAAGGAUUAAAUGGUUUAAAAACUAAGGCGACCACAUGCAGAAGCUAUAGAGUACAAGAGCUACACCGACAGCCAAGAUCCAUUUUGAUGCAGCAUACAACAGUAAUACUUCCAGUUCAGCGUCCGGCCUUGUAGGUUGGGACACGAGGGGAGUCUUGAUAGCAUUAAAAACAGUUAUUCAUAGAAAUGUUCCUUCUCCUUUCGCAGCAGAGGCUCAUGCAUGUUUAGAAGGAGUAAAGUUAGGGAUUUCAUUACGAAUCCAUUCAGUAAAACUUAUGGGGGAUUCAAAAACUGUUAUAAAGAAAUGUCAAGAGACUUCUAUAGACAAAUCAGUUAUUGGAGCCAUCAUCAGAGAUAUUCAACAAAAGAAAUCCGACUUUCAAGAUGUUAUUUUCCAGUAUAUUCACAGGUCGGAAAACUUAGAUGCUCACAGAAUAGCAAAGAUUGCAUUUGAGAAAGGAGAGACGUUUUACCUGAGGGGUGAGGAACUGGAUAGUCAGAAUCUGGCUUUGGUAGGAUAUCGGCCAAGAAAUCCAGAUUGAGGAACUGCUUCAGAGGAAAUGUGACAGAAACAGAUAGCAAAAUGAAGAAUGAAUGCUUAGGACCGCUAUUAAUUAAAUGUUAGGAGCUUUGGAAAUUACAAAUCGUCAAACGUUAUUGGUUGCCAACUGCUCAUUGAUUUGACUAGGUUAGGUUUUAAUAAGCUUUAUUUCCUUUUAUUGAUUUGAUGUUUCCUUUUGCAAGACAGAAGUCUGAUAGUUUUUAAGUUUUUUCAUUGUUGUUUUUUCUGGUUUCUUUGUUUGGGCCAUUGUUUGGGCCGUCUGUUUUUAGUUUAUUUUUUAAUAAAAUCCCAGUCUUUGCUUCAAAAAAUAAUAAUUAUUAUUUUUAAAUUUAUAAAGAGUAUUUAUAUGUAAAAAAUAUUUUUUAUUUAAUUAAAAAACUUGAAUUCUUAUUAUUUUAAAUUCAUCCAAUUAUAUUCAAUGAUUUUAUAGAUUUAUAGUUUUAUUAAUUAAUAAUAUAUUAUGUUUUCUUUUAAGUAGAGCCUUUAUAAUAUAUGACCAAAUUAAUUAAUAUAUUAUUAUUUUAAUUAAUCUUACUUUUUAUUAUUAUAUAAUAAUAAUAAUAAAUUAUUAUUCUAAUGUAGUUUAGUAAUAUAAUUAACAAUAAAGGAUAUUUUUGUCAGUUCAAAAGUUUUUUCAAGACUCGUGCUUUUAUAUAUAUAUUAUAGAUAGAUAUUUUUAUGAUUUUUAUCGGAUAUAUGAAAGAUUAAAUCACAGCCUGUCAUAUUUCGUCAUCUAAUUGGUCCGUUAAUUGAUUUUAAUGGUUAAUGUAACGAAAUGUGAAAAUUAUUAAUGUAAGAGCUUAAUUAAUUUUUCAGGUUAAUGAUAAGGGAUCAACUGGGUUCAAAUUAAGUCAAGGGGCUUAGUAACUUUUUUUGGUUUUUUCUUAAGGGACUAUUAUAGCUAUAAGCCUUUGAUAAAUUUAGUAAAUUUUUUUAUUUAAUAAACUAUUCUCAUCAAAUUACUAAAAUAAUACAUAAAAUGCGAAUUAAUUUAUACUUUUUUAAAUAGCUUUACUUUAGGUAAAAUAUAUUUACUUUAAUAAUAAAAUAAAGGGCUUUUAUGAGUAAAAAUCAUAGAUUAAGAGCUUAUUUAACUACAAAAAUAGGUUGAGGGCUUGUUUAUUAAAUAAAAAAGUGAGUUGAAGGGGAAUAAAAAGAAAAUAAUAAAUAAGGAAGGCUUAGAAGGCAAUUAGCCAAGUUUCAGCUUUGGCGCUGACACACCCACAGGCGGCACCAAUUCACUUUCAAAAUUCAAAAUGGUAAAUUUGCAUGUCAAGUCCUUGAAACUGCAGAUAGUUACAUUUUAGUCCUGUGCCGCUAAUAGGUGCCACCAAUGAGAAAGGCACCAUCGGUGCCGCCAUUCCAUUACCCUCCUUCAGCCGUCUUUUUUUUGUAUUAUUUUGAUAAAUAAUUUUUUUAUAUAUUAUUUUAGUAUUUUUUUAUUUCUUUUGUAUUAUUUUAGUAAAAAACCCUUUCUUAAGCUCUAUUUUUUUACAAGGAAGGAAUUAGUUUUAAAACUUUACAUUGUAGCUUUUUAAGAAAUAAUAAAUUAUAGGUUAAAUUCCGUUAUUAGACCCUAUACUUUAUGUAAGUUGUGGACUUAGUAUUUGGUCAUUUUUAGUCCCUAUACUUUUAGAAUUUGAAAAUUUUAGUUCUAACCAAAUGAUAACUAUUAAAUUCAUUAAGUCAAGUUCUGUUAUUUUUAAAAUUUAAUGUGUUAAACAUAUUAUCACAUAUAUAAUGCUAUGUCUAUUUUGUUAUUUUCACAUAUUACUUACAAAAAUUCAAUUAAUAGAUUUAAUGACUGCCAUUUACAUUAAGCCUGAAAUUUUGAAAUUAAAAAAAUAUAGCCACUAAAAAGGAUCCAAUUGGUGAACGUGAACUCAAUCUAUAACUUUACGCAUACUAUAGGACUAAUGACAUAAUUGAACCAAACAGAUUUAACUGCUACAUCAGAACUAAAAUUUCAAAUUUCAAAUAGUACAAUGUAAUAAAAGAAUUUAACCUAAAUUAUAUGUUUUUACCGUACUUUUUUAUGAAUACGAAUGAAAUAUCGCUCAAUUUGUCUUUUACUAUACUUUUUAAACACACUUCCAAUAAAUUUUUGUCUAAUUCAAUUUUAAAAGUUUUUAAAAUUUUAAUAUUAAAAAUUGUAAGUGUCUUAAAUAUAUUUGUAAAAAUUUAAAUACAAAAAAAUAGUUUAACUAAAAUUUAAUUUAAAUUAUUUUUUUGAAGAGGUUAACACUGGAUUAAGAAAUUAUAAUUUAAAAUUCUAAAUACAAAUAUGUUAAUUUAUUAAAUUCAAACCUCCAAAACAUAAUUUGAAACAAAUUAAUCUAUCACCAAGUAAUUGAAGCAUUAAAUAAAGUUUAUUCAUCCACCUUUAAUCUAUUACAAUUUUUUAACUUUUGCAUGUUUGAUCCAAUUGGUGAACCAUUUCAACCCAAUUUUGGUGGGACAAAAGCUAUGUGUGUGUGUAUAUAUUGCUAGACACAUACACAAAAUAAAAGGGAAAUAAUUAGUAAAUAAAGAAUAUAUUAAUCAAUCAAUAAAAAAAAGGGGACAUUGUGGGACAUUCAUGAAAUAAGAUCCCACUAAGGAGCAACUAAGCUAUCAUAUCAAUAAAUAAAUAAAUAAAAACUUAAUAACUUUUGUACCCCUCCAACUUUAUAAAAACAAAAUCAUUUUAGCCUUUCAUUUAAUUUUUCACCUUUUUAGCUCUUAAACUUAUAUUUUUUUUGUCAAAUCACCUCACAAUGAAUGAAAAAGUUGACAUUUUUUAACUUUGUUAAUGUUGCGUACACGUGAAUGACAAUGUUGUGACACAAUUCGAUUUGAGUUGAAAACGAGCUAUUGUGGCCAAUUAUGUAUGAAAGAGCUAUUAGACUUGGAAAUGAUUGAAAUUUUAAAGUGAAAUGCGACUUAUAAACUUAAUUGUGAUACUAGUGAAUGAAUAAGUAUCAUUAUACAUGAAUAAAUGUAGAAAUGAACUAAAUGCUAAUAAAUUGAAUGUUAUAUGAGAAGUUAAUAUGUAUGUAUAAAGAAUUGGUAUGCUAUUAUGAAUAUAAGCAUAGAUAUAUGGAAGUGAAAUUAUUUUUCAUAUGUUGGCAUAAGUUAGACUACAAAUUGAACAUAUGCAUUUGCAUGAAUUUGUUCAUAUUGAUUUGAAUUGUAGAAAUUACCACUAAGCAAUUUGCUCAAUGUGCGAUUUGUUUUCUGUGCCCAGGUUAGGUUCUAUUCAAAAUUCCUGAGCAUUAACUUCAACAUCCAAUCAAUGAUCCUGGGCUCAUCAAUGUUUGUUCGUUUAUGGAUUUUGUUAAUAGUUGGCAUGUAUCUAAUAGGUUAAGUCAUGUUGGUUUGGUAUUUUAAGAAUGAUAUAUAUUUGUUUUGAUUAUAUAUAUACUCUUUUGAUUUCAAUUGUUGAUGUAUGUAUUGGCUUUCCUUAUUAUUAGUUGCAAAUGGUUAAUAAUCUUAGUUGAAAUGGUAUAAUGCUAUAUAUGUUAAUGAUCUUAAUGAUAUUGGUGUAAAUGCUUGAGUUAGAUUGAAUUGCAUUAGGGAUUAGUUUUGUUGAAAUGGAACAUUUGCAUAUUGAGAGUAGAGUGUAUAUAUAUAAUUAUGUCAUGAAAUGAUGUUAAAGAAGUGCAUAUGGUAGUUAAAUCUGAUUUGAAUAUGUUUGGUUUUGGCUUGGCAAAGAUUGCAGGAAAAAAAUCUUAGAAAUUGUAGAAAUAGUAUGUGACAUUGCGACGUCAAACGUAUCACAUCAUGAUGAGAAAUGACAUAUAACGUCAUGGCAAGAUGAGGAACCCCAUUAUCUCAACGAGGUCAAAACAUUAUAUGGUGUUGCGACGUCAAGUGGCUUGAUGUCAUGACGUGACAAACUAUUUGACGAUGUCACGACGUGAACCCUAAAUAUUUUUAAAUUUUUUUUACGAUUCAAUCAUAUUUCGAUCUCGGGUUAACUUUAAGCUUUCAAAAGCUUGUAUAAUACCCAAUAAUGAUUAUUUUUUAUAUUGUUUACUUGUAAUUCUUAUGGAUUGUAUGUUUGAUGGUGUGAUUUCGUAUUUAAUUUGAUUGUAGUUGCUUCGGCAACGAAUGUGACACCUUAUAACUCAGACCCGACAAUUGUGUCAGGUAUGAAGUGUUACACAUGGUAAAUGUUAUUGUAAGAGUACUUAUUGUAAUAACCAUGUUGGAGUUAUGGUGGCCUAGUUUUGUAUCCUUGUUGAUUGGUGUUGGUAAGCUACAUUGAAUGAUAUAGAUGGAUCAUAUAAUUGUUAAUAGUUGAUUUCAUUCUCUAGGUUUUGCAUAUUUAAAUGCUCUCAUUGGGUAUAAACAUUAUUUUUUAUUUCCUCCCCACAAAUGAUGUCUUAAUGCAUAAUUUGGUGGAGGAUGUUGUGAGCAGUUCACACGUGGGUGCGAAGAGUCGUUAGUUAGGGGAGUUGGGGAUUCUAAUGAUAUUUAGGUCGAGUUUCGAAAUAGGUAAAGAGUAUUAAUCUUUGGGGAAAGUGGGAGCCUAUAUAAAUGAGGGGCUUGGUAGAGUCCCUAUGGACAAAUGUCCUACUAUGCUAAGCUGUGGCGUGCUUUAUUUGGAUGUGAUAUAGUAUGGCCUGACUCUAAUUUUUUUAGAUCCAACGAUAGAGCGAUGAAAGACUUUAUUAAAUGUGAUGAGAGUAGCUCUUGGCGGAACCUUGACGUAACCCACAUGACAGGCAUGUGAGACAAUCAGUCUGACUAGCCCUUCUCAGUUAGGCACUUUAUCUGGUGAAGAUUGAUCAAAAGAGAUGAUUGGGUAUAAGAAAUAUAGAUAUAUAUUGGGAAUAUUAUUUUUAUAUAUAUAUAAGUUGAUGUUGAAAACUUUUUUAUCCAUACUAAUCAUAAAACCCUGACUAAAUUAGUGUCAUGGACUAACCGAAUAUGAAUGCAGUUGGGAAAAGACUAAUAUACAUUUUUUAAUUGACACAUAAUAUUAUUAUGAUAAUACUUUUCUAUUUUCAUACUUUUAUAUAUUCUUUAAAUAUAAAAAUAAAUCGAAAACCCAUAAAUUUAAAAAUCGAACAGAUGUUUAAUAAAGUUUAUAUAGAAGCUUGUUAUCACUCUACCUAUAUUUAUUGUUGAAUAAAUUUAAAAAAAAACAUUUUUUAUAUCAUCCACACUCAGACAUCUUCUAAUAUAGAAUAAAUAGCUUUGAUAUUUUAAUUCAAAUUUUAAUAUCCACCAUGCAGACUAAGAAAACAUUUUAUACAAUGAUAAGAUAGACAAACAUAUCAUAUAUGUAUAUAUAUGAUUCACCCUCCAAGAAUCUGGCCAUGUAAGGGUAUAGGAAAGUCAGCAAAAUGCACCAAAACAGAUCAACACUCUGUUUCCUUUAAUUUUCCGUCAAAGUGAGUAUUGAGGAAGCAGGCACAGAGAAGGAAGUACAUUUGUAAAGGAGAAUAUAAUAUAAGUUGUGUCCUUUUCGUUAGUUCUUUGUUUUUACUGCCUUUUGGCUUUCCUUUGUAUCCUAUUUCAGUCCCUUUGCAAAACCUGCCAUCUCUGAAGCUUUUGUAUCAAUUUUUCUAUAGGUAAGAUUCUUUAAGAAAAAAACUGAAUUCCGAAGCUACUUUGAUUCUGAUGAAGAAAAACCUUCCUUUUUUGCAUGAUUUUGUUGAAAAAAUAUAAAGAAAUGAAUGUUUUAACUUGUUUUUUCUUUGUCGUGAUGCAGAUAUAACCUCUUUAGAAUCUGUGGGAAAGUUUUGCAUUUUGGAAGGUUCUUAAUCCAAGAAAAGGUAGAUAAAUCUUUUUUUAUUUUUUAUGCUUUGGUGUUUUGUCGAUGUACCCUUUUAUCUAUUUGUGUAAAAUUUUAUUGAAAGUAGGGAAAUUUUGGAUGUUAAAGUGAAGCAGAUGGUGUUUUUGUAGAAAUUUGGGAAUGGAAGAUAGAUAUAGUUUUCCAUCCUUGAGAGAUGGGGAUUUUGAGGAAGGAGAUGUUUGGGCAGUUCUUAAGGAAAGUAAGGAUUCAACUUACAAGGUUGGACAUUCCAGUGAAUCUUCCAUUCCUGAUAGAGGACAUGUUCCAAGUGCUGCAAGAAUGAUCCCAAGAACUUUGUCUGCAAUUAAUACCAGCAGUAACAUUGGCAGUUGUUGUUCUAGUUACAGUCAUGAGGCUAACGA